GGGGGCGUUUUGGCUUCGACGGGAGUGGUCAGCGUCCAGUGAGACGAGCCGAGUUUGCUGGAGACUCGUAAAACGCCGGCACCAAAGAUACACGCCAACAACGAAAUGGCUCUGGCUGCUUAAUUAACUGAGUAGCCCAUCGGUCCGGGUGGCCCACGGCCCGGGGUCCGGUGUCAUUAAGUGGGCUCUACCCCUGGGGUUCUGGCCCGGAGCCUCUGGGGGACACUUAACGGGCUAGCCCCGCGGCGGCGCCCCGGUCCGUCGCGAGAGGCGAAACUAAACCGGGAGCUACGCUCGUAGAAUCUCACGGACGGCGCGCUCGCGGACGCGGGUUCGAAUCCCGCCGCCUCCACUA
rnacentral:tmRNA from 1 species